UGAUCUCACGGCUUGGCGUAAAAUGAUACGCCACUUUUAAAGCUAUUUGGCGUGCCAUUUUACGCAUUUAAGGCUUUUAGCGUCUUAUUGUACGCUGUUUGGCCAUGGAGAACAACGCAGCCCAGCCUACACGGGCACAGCCGAAUCAAACGAAAUUGUCCGAGCAGCUACGGAUUGAAACGAAGUUCGAAAAGAAGACGACAGCAAGAUCCUUGCUCCUGAUAUCCUGAUGUGUGGGUUUCAUUACUGUAGCCUUUGACUCCAACAGAACACUCACAGAAAGGAGAGCAGUGUCAUACUGCUACUCAUUUGUCUACUUCCUGAAGAGGAGCAUGCUAGCCUUGACACCUCAGUCCUUGCUUCCAUUAACAGCUGUGUUAUGGAGCGCAUCCUCACAUCAUGGUCUACUGCAGCAGGUGGAUACAGAAGACAAUUGGUUCAAACCAUCUUGAGGCCUUUUGGACAGAGGAGAGGAUGACUGAGCUGGUUAACCUCUACAUAAAUAGACACAUGUCAAGUGGGUUUAUCAAGGCCCAAAUAUGCUGAGGAAUACAGGCUGCCUUGGUGGCCUAAGGAGUUGCCUUUCACUUCAGUCAGUGACGGAAAAGGUCAAGGACGUAAGGCUUUUACAGCUGAAAAGCUGAUACAGCUUGUGCAGUCCUACAAUGCACAUGUCAAUGAUCAGCUGUUUGUUGAGGCAGCAGCAGCAGGAGCAGCACAAACAACAGAAGCAGCAGCAGCAGCAGGAGCAGCACCACCAGCACUAUAAACGCCAUCAGCAGCAGCGGCAGAUUAUAAAGAAGGAUAACAAUGAAUACAUGAAAUCAGAGUGGGAAGUUGUGCUUUUAUGUUUCAUAUACUGUAUAUAUAUGCACCUUACUUGAG